rnacentral:rRNA from 1 species
UACGAAGGGGGCUAGCGUUGUUCGGAAUUACUGGGCGUAAAGGGCGCGCAGGCGGUUCCUCAAGUCAGGCGUGAAAGCCCCGGGCUCAACCUGGGAACUGCGCUUGAGACUGCGGGACUGGAGUUCGGGAGAGGAGAGCGGAAUUCCCAGUGUAGAGGUGAAAUUCGUAGAUAUUGGGAAGAACACCAGUGGCGAAGGCGCUCUGCUAGGCCGUAACUGACACUGAGGGACGAAAGCUAGGGGAGCGAAUGGG